GUAUAUCAUUUUGGGGCCACUAUUUACUGCUAGGGAGUGUGGCUCCAGAAUCCUGGUGGUUCUGGAGCCUGUGUCCAUACCUAGUUCUGGAAUUCUGAGGCCAAUUCUGUGAGACUUGGAUCCAGUGAUUCUCACACUUGAGAGUGCAUCAGAGCCACUGGGAGGCUUGUGAAAGUGUAGGCUCCAAUUCUGCCGGUCUGGGGCUGGCCUGAGUUUGCUCUCUGACAAACUCCUGGUGGUGCUGAUGCUGAGACCUCUGGCCCACAGGUUCGGACGAAGGACGUGCUGUUCGAGAGCAUCAGCCACCUGAUUGACUAUCACCUGCAGAACGGGCAGCCCAUUGUAGCCGCUGAGAGCGAGCUGCACCUGCGCGGUGUGGUCAAGCGGGAGCCCUGAGCCAGGUGAUGGUUGCCACCCUCGGCUCCUGUCCCUGCUACCCAGAUGUCCUUCCUGUGGCCUUACAGCCUUUCUCUGGACCCUGGUCAGGCCGAACCACUGCAGUCUCUCCUUCCUCCACAUGGGCCUUGAAUUUCCCUUCUCCAGCCCACUCUUGGCUGGGCCAGGUCAACCAUGCCAGGAGACGCCCAAGACCCCUCUCUCCUGAGCCCCCUGCCUGGAGUUAGGGUACAAACCAAAGACAGAACCGUUUCUCGCCUUUAACGAAAAUAUAUCAAAAAGCAGCCCUCAGUGUCCUGGCGAGGUCCUGGUGGGGCAGGGAGACACUGUCUCUUUUCCCAGCUGGACUUCAGCUCAUUUCCCUGGAAGGAGAAGGUUCCUAGGCUCCUGGCAUGGAGUUGGAGUCCUGUCCUGGCCAGGCUCAGUGUUUUCCCCUGAAAAAUUGGUGCACAGUUUUUGAGGGAGAGUUGAGGUGCUUUGGGUCCUCAGGCCAGGACACAGGCUGAUGUUGAAGUGGGGGGUAUUGACCUGAGCUGGACAUUUUGAAUCUGUUUAUAAUUAAACCUGGGAAUGACACGA